ensembl:lncRNA
UGGCUUCGACUCGGCAGCUGGCAUCUCGGCUCGGGCCACGCCCUCAGCUCCAGAAGCGGGGACCGCCGAGAUCUAUUCAGGCCCUUAAGGUGCAGCAGGCCCCACAGUCGGUGCCUGGGGCAAGCCUUUGAGGUGCUUCAGGGUGUUGCUCGGGGUCGAAGUCAGUUGGUCCACUGAGUUAGGUAGCUGGCCCGGCACACCGUCGACCUCGAUAGCCGGUGGUGGGGCAUGUUCGGCCUACAAGGCUCCCAAGGGCGCAGUUGUCCCUCCAGAUCGGAAAUCUGAAUCAGACCUGUGACUGCCAUCAGCAGUGGCUUUGACUCAGCAGCUGGCAUCUCGGCGCGGGCCAAUCCGUCAGCUCCAAUAGCUGGCACGUCUCUAUCACCUCAGGCCUUGAAGGUGCAGCGGGCCCCCAGUCGGGCCUGGGGGCAGGACUUGAGGUGGUUCAGGUUGUUGCUCGGGUCCAAAGCAGGUGGCCCCGCUGAGUCAGGUAGCUAGCUACUCAAGCAAAUCGAUGACCUCGAUAGCCGAUGGUGGGGCCUGUACGGCCUUGAGGGCUCCCAAGGGUGUAGGUGUCCCUCCAGGUCAGAAUAUGGAAUCAGACCUGUGACCACCAUCUGCACUGGCUUCGACUCGGCAGCUGGCAUCUCGGCUCGGGCCACGCCCUCAGCUCCAG